rnacentral:rRNA from 1 species
UGGAUGUAAAAGUUUCGUAACAAGGUUUCCGUAGGUGAACCUGCGGAAGGAUCAUUACCGAGUGCGGGAACCCAGUCGGGUCCCAAUCUCCCACCCGUGUCUACCACACCUAGUGUUGCUUUGGCGGGCCCACUCCUCCGGUGUUCCGCCGGGGGGGUCGUCCCGGGGCGCGGUGUGCCCCCGGGGCCCGUGCCCGCCAGAGGCACUCACUGUGAACGCUUUUGUGAAUGCGAGGAUUGUCUGAGUGACGAAAUGCAAUCGUUCAAAACUUUCAACAAUGGAUCUCUUGGUUCCGGCAUCGAUGAAGAACGCAGCGAAAUGCGAUAAGUAAUGUGAAUUGCAGAAUUCCGUGAAUCAUCGAAUCUUUGAACGCACAUUGCGCCCUCUGGUAUUCCGGGGGGCAUGCCUGUCCGAGCGUCAUUGCGAACCCUCAAGCACGGCUUGUGUGUUGGGCCGCCGUCCCCUCGUUUGGAGGGGACGGGCCUGAAAGGCAGCGGCGGCGUCGCGUCCGGUCCUCGAGCGUAUGGGGCUCUGUCACGCGCUCAAGGAGGGGUCCGGCCGGGGCCAUAGCCUCUGAAGGUCAAUUCUUCCAAGGUUGACCUCGGAUCAGGUAGGAGUACCCGCUGAACUUA